AAAUGCUUAUCAAACUGAGUAACUUUUUAAAAGGCACAAUUUAGUAUAAUUUAAUAGUUAUUUUCAUAAAACCUCUCUAUACACCACAUUUUUAGUUUUAUUUUCAAGCUGUAUAUGUUUCAUACAAAAUAUCAACCCCAAUUAAACCCACUUAGCGGUGUAAUAUCGUAAAAUCCGUUCUCAGCGGACGUCUGCUAUCUAUAAUCUACCUCCCUGCCAAAUUUUAUCUUUGUUCAACCUGGAUGGAUAGACCAUCCAGCGGUU
rnacentral:misc_RNA from 1 species